rnacentral:rRNA from 1 species
CUCAGGACGAACGCUGGCGGCGUGCCUAAUACAUGCAAGUCGAGCGGACAGAUGGGAGCUUGCUCCCUGAUGUUAGCGGCGGACGGGUGAGUAACACGUGGGUAACCUGCCUGUAAGACUGGGAUAACUCCGGGAAACCGGGGCUAAUACCGGAUGGUUGUUUGAACCGCAUGGUUCAGACAUAAAAGGUGGCUUCGGCUACCACUUACAGAUGGACCCGCGGCGCAUUAGCUAGUUGGUGAGGUAACGGCUCACCAAGGCGACGAUGCGUAGCCGACCUGAGAGGGUGAUCGGCCACACUGGGACUGAGACACGGCCCAGACUCCUACGGGAGGCAGCAGUAGGGAAUCUUCCGCAAUGGACGAAAGUCUGACGGAGCAACGCCGCGUGAGUGAUGAAGGUUUUCGGAUCGUAAAGCUCUGUUGUUAGGGAAGAACAAGUGCCGUUCAAAUAGGGCGGCACCUUGACGGUACCUAACCAGAAAGCCACGGCUAACUACGUGCCAGCAGCCGCGGUAAUACGUAGGUGGCAAGCGUUGUCCGGAAUUAUUGGGCGUAAAGGGCUCGCAGGCGGUUUCUUAAGUCUGAUGUGAAAGCCCCCGGCUCAACCGGGGAGGGUCAUUGGAAACUGGGGAACUUGAGUGCAGAAGAGGAGAGUGGAAUUCCACGUGUAGCGGUGAAAUGCGUAGAGAUGUGGAGGAACACCAGUGGCGAAGGCGACUCUCUGGUCUGUAACUGACGCUGAGGAGCGAAAGCGUGGGGAGCGAACAGGAUUAGAUACCCUGGUAGUCCACGCCGUAAACGAUGAGUGCUAAGUGUUAGGGGGUUUCCGCCCCUUAGUGCUGCAGCUAACGCAUUAAGCACUCCGCCUGGGGAGUACGGUCGCAAGACUGAAACUCAAAGGAAUUGACGGGGGCCCGCACAAGCGGUGGAGCAUGUGGUUUAAUUCGAAGCAACGCGAAGAACCUUACCAGGUCUUGACAUCCUCUGACAAUCCUAGAGAUAGGACGUCCCCUUCGGGGGCAGAGUGACAGGUGGUGCAUGGUUGUCGUCAGCUCGUGUCGUGAGAUGUUGGGUUAAGUCCCGCAACGAGCGCAACCCUUGAUCUUAGUUGCCAGCAUUCAGUUGGGCACUCUAAGGUGACUGCCGGUGACAAACCGGAGGAAGGUGGGGAUGACGUCAAAUCAUCAUGCCCCUUAUGACCUGGGCUAC